UACGGAGGGGACUAGCGUUGUUCGGAAUUACUGGGCGUAAAGCGUGCGUAGACGGUUAUUUAAGUCAGGUGUGAAAGCCCCGGGCUCAACCUGGGAAUUGCAUUUGAGACUGAAUAGCUAGGGUGCGGAAGAGGGAAGCGGAAUUUCCGGUGUAGCGGUGAAAUGCGUAGAUAUCGGAAGGAACACCAGUGGCGAAGGCGGCUCUCUGGAACGCAACUGACGCUGAGACGCGAAAGCGUGGGGAGCGAACAGG
rnacentral:rRNA from 1 species